UGUGAAGGAAAGGUGAAAAGGACCCCGGGAGGGGAGUGAAAGAGAACCUGAAACCUUGUGCCUACAAGCACAUAGAGCCCGUCAAAGGGUGAUAUGGUACUUUUUGUAGAACGGUCCGGCGAGCGAUUGUACGUUGCGAGCUUAAGGUCUUAAGGACUGGAGGCGUAGCGAGAGCGAGUCUAAACAGGGCGUUUAGUAGCGUGCAAUGGGCCCGAAACCGGGUGACCUACCCAUGAUCAGGCUGAAGUGAAAGUAAAAUUUCAUGGAGGGCCGAACCGACCUCCGUUGAAAAGGCGGCGGAUGAAUUGUGGGUAGCGGAGAAAUUCCAAUCGAACUCGGAGAUAGCUGGUUCUCCCCGAAAUAGCUUUAGGGCUAGCCUCAUGUUAGAUAUCCGGAGGUAAAGCACUGAAUGGCCUAGCGUCCGAGAGGAUAGCGAAGCCUAUCAAACUAAGAAUGCCGGAAUAUUGAUGCAUGGGAGUCAGACAGUGUGAGAUAAAUCUCAUUGUCAAAAGGGAAACAGCCCAGAUCUACAGCUAAGGUCCCAAAUUGUAUCUAAGUGGAAAACGAUGUGGAAAUACGCAGACAACCAGGAUGUUGGCUCAGAAGCAGCCACUCAUUUAAAGAGUGCGUAAUAGCUCACUGGUCGAGCGUCUCUGCGCGGAAAAUUUAACGGGGCUAAGAUACAAACCGAAGCUUAGGCUGCACUUUUAGUGCGGGGUAGGGGAGCGUUGUGUAAGCGGAGAAACAGUAGCGUAAGCGGCUGUGGAGUUUACAGAAGUGAGAAUGCCGGAAUGAGUAGCGCGAAUGCAGUGAGAAUCUGCAUGGCCGAAAGCCUCAGGUUUCUGGAGGAAGGUUCGUCCGCUCCAGGUUAGUCGGGAGCUAAGGUGAGGCCUAACGGCGUAGCCGAUGCACAGACGGUAGAGAUUCCGUCCCCACCGAAAGAUUUAAGCGCAGGGACACUUUUAGAAGGUCGGAGCCAGGUGUUGGUUCUGGUAGAGAUCGAGGGAAAAUUAGUACCGAAGUCCGGCUGGAUAAGAGGCGAGAAAAGCUGUGUGUAUAUCUAAGGUGCCCGUACCGCAAACCGACACAGGUAGGUAGGAAGAAGAUUCUAAGGCCAACGGGAGAAGGGUUGUUAAGGAACUCGGCAAGUUGACCCCGUAACUUCGGAAUAAGGGGUGCUCAUGAAAGUGAGCCGCAGAGAAUAGGCCCAGGCAACUGUUUACCAAAAACACAGGUUUGUGCUAAAUCGAAAGAUGACGUAUACGAGCUGACGCCUGCCCGGUGCUGGAAGGUUAAGAGGAGAUGUGCAAGCAUUGAAUCGAAGCCCCAGUGAACGGCGGCCGUAACUAUAACGGUCCUAAGGUAGCGAAAUUCCUUGUCAGGUAAGUUCUGACCCGCAUGAAAGGCGUAAUGAUCUGGGCACUGUCUCAACAGCCCGCCCGGCGAAAUUGUAGUACCGGUGAAGAUGCCGGUUACCCGCGACAAGACGGAAAGACCCCAUGGAGCUUUACUGUAGCCUAAUAUUGGGUUUCGGUGUUGCAUGCACAGGAUAGAUGGGACGCUGGGAAGUGAGUGCUUUGGCAUUCAUGGAGCGGCCGUUGGGAUACCAUCCUUGCGACAUUGGAAUUCUAACCUGCGCCUUUGAAUCAAGGCGGGGGACAUUGUUAGGUGGGCAGUUUGACUGGGGCGGUCGCCUCCUAAAGAGUAGCGGAGGCGUUCAAAGGUUGGCUCGUCCUGGACGGAAACCAGGAGAGAGAGUGCAAACGCAAAAGCCAGCCUGACUGCGAGACUGACGGGUCGAGCAGAGACGAAAGUCGGAGUUAGUGAUCCGGUGGUAUGUGAGUGGAAAUGCCAUCGCUCAACGGAUAAAAGUUACCCUGGGGAUAACAGGCUGAUCUCCCCCAAGAGUCCACAUCGACGGGGAGGUUUGGCACCUCGAUGUCGGCUCAUCGCAUCCUGGGGCUGUAUUCGGUCCCAAGGGUUUGGCUGUUCGCCAAUUAAAGCGGUACGCGAGCUGGGUUCAGAACGUCGUGAGACAGUUCGGUCCCUAU
rnacentral:rRNA from 1 species